rnacentral:rRNA from 1 species
AAAGGAACGUUGAAGACGACGACGUUGAUAGGUCGGGUGUGUAAGCGCAGCGAUGCGUUGAGCUAACCGAUACUAAUGAACCGUGAGGCUUAACCUUACAACGCCGAAGGUGUUU